UACGUAGGGGGCAAGCGUUGUCCGGAAUCAUUGGGCGUAAAGAGCGUGUAGGCGGCUCGGUAAGUCCGCUGUGAAAGUCCAGGGCUCAACCCUGGAAUGCCGGUGGGAAACUGUCGAGCUAGAGUCCGGAAGAGGCGAGUGGAAUUCCUGGUGUAGCGGUGAAAUGCGCAGAUAUCAGGAGGAACACCAAUGGCGAAGCAGCUCGCUGGGACGGUAGCUGACGCUGAGACGCGAAAGCGUGGGGAGCGAACAGGAUAGAAACCCUAGU
rnacentral:rRNA from 1 species